CUGGGGCGCAAGCAGCUGCCUGCGGCGCUGGCCGGCGCUGAAGCUCAGAACUGUGACUGCCGCCGCUGCUACAGGCGCCACUGUUGUUGUGAAGCCCCGACGCCGCCGCUCACUCCGCCAUGUUGCCGCCCCCUGCCUGCGGUAGCGGCCACUGCGCCUGCGCAGAGCCUCCGGGGGGGCGGAGCCCUCGUGCACCCCCUCUUUCGCCCUGCCCUCCUUCCCCUUCCACCCACCCAGCCCGACACCCCUCGUCCCUCCCCCAACCGCCCUGAACGGAUAGACAGGAAGAGGUUCGUCAUCUUCGUCGUCGCAUCCAGCAGCUGCUACAGCCAGUGCCACGUGCCUUGUAAGAUCAGCAGCUACUUGAAGACAAGGACUAUAUCAUUCUUACAAAUAAAACCUUCAGCAAUAUAUUGUGAUCAUUGACUGAUACAUGGUGCUGGUGCGAAUGGUCACUCUCCUGCCUGUCUGGAAGGUCCCUGGAGGGGGAUUUGUGGCAGCAGAAUUCUCACAUUCUCUAGGUGCUGAGGGGGUGUAGAGCUCAGUACGUAGAAAGAAGAGUGCAACUAUCAUUCACUCUGAGGAAGCCAGCUGCCACAUCACGAAGACCCUCUGGCUAUACUAUGAAGAAACUCCCAUGACAAGGAUCUAAGCCCUCGUGGCCUUAAAAGCCAUGAGAGGGAGCAUCUUGGAGCUGAUCCUCUAGACCCAGACUUCAGGGGACUGCAGACUGCAAGGCAACAGCUUAACUGGGAGGCCCUGAAUUGGAACCAUCCAACUACCCAUCUGUGCUGCUCUGGGAUCCCUGAACCUCAGAGACUCCUUCAGAUAACAUCCAAGAGGCUGCCAGAGAAGCAAAUCUAAAAGACGCAAGUCCCUGUUCUUCCCAUCACCCACUGCCCCAGUGUGGAUCCCUUCCAACAAGAGACAACACAGGCCCACUGGCUCUCACCAUUUAUGGAAUUGCCUUGGCUACUCAAGGGACCAGAUGUUCCCUGGAGUUGUGACCCACUGCUCCUGCAUUUAACCUCCUGGCUGGCUGCUUGCUUGCUUGGACUCAGCCCAGUACAGAUGGCAUCACUGCUAAAUCAGAGAGGAUGCCACUCGGUUUCCUGGUCCUCCUUCAAGUUGCUACUUUGUUGGCAGUCAGAGACCUCUAACUCCUUACGGGAGGUGUGAUAUUGAGGAGAAAGGAAGAAACACCAGUGUGAGUUAAGAGGAGACCCUCACAGAUACUGCAGAUUUGGGUCUGGAUCAUCACAAUGAAGUGAAUAUCGCAAUAAAGCAAGUCACAUGAAUUUUUCUUUUGUUUCCCAGUGCAUAUAAAAGUUAUAUUUAUACUGUAGUGCAGUCUGUUAGGUGUUCGAUGGCAUUAUGUCUAUAAAAACAAUGUACACGCUUUAAUUUUAAAAUUAGUGCUGUUGGGAAAAUGCCUGAUUUGCCACAUACCUUCAAUUUGUAAAAAGAAAAAAAUUUUAUUGCAAAGUACAAUAAAAUAAAGAGCAAUAAAAUGAGGUAUGCCUGUAUUUUUUGUGUUUCUUAGAGAUUUCUUUCCAGUAAAUUUCCUUUUCUUGUGAAACAUUAGAAUGUAAGCACUGGGAUAUUUUUCUGCUUGUUCAGUAUAAGUAUUUAGUGCAUCAAACAUUGUCUGACCCAGAGUGAGUGUUCAGUGGCUAUGCAUUAAAUAAAUAAAUGAAAGAAUGAAAUAUCAAUUACUGUUGCUUGCAACCAAGUUUCUAUAAUGCGAUGUAGGAAGAGGAACUCAAGCAGAGCCCAGUGGUCUUUCUGAAUUAAGACAGACUGUGGAACUCAAGGACACUUAUGUUCCUAGAAUGUAUGGGAUAGAAUAUCGAAGGGAAGAAAGCUGUACACAGGGAAGACUACUAAGAUCUGUAGAGGAUGUCCUUGAAGCUUUGAGCACGAGCUUAUCUAUGUAUGCAUGAGAUGAAUCUCUAUAAGGUAGAAAAAAGAAGCUGCCAAAGCUAUAGGUUGAAUAAUAGCCUAAGUUAACAUAGAUAUUUUUCCCCCUGCAGCCAGACUGGAGAGACCUCAUACUACAUGGGGAAUUUGGUAGAAUCCUUGGAGAGUUCUUGCCUUAGCAGUGGACUCACUUGUACCUAACAUAAAGGCUGCUCUGGGACCAUCCUAACAAAGCUUCAAAGAAAACCUUAAAGUCAUUACAUUGACUUGAUAGUAACUUUACUUUCUGCCAGAAAUUAAACAUUGUUUAAAUGAAUACAACAAAAUUCACUAUAAAACAACAUAAAUUUCACAAUGUCUAGCGUUUAAAAAUUAUCAGGCAUGAAAUAAAGCAGGAAAAUAUGACCUAGAAACAGUAGGAAAAAGUAAGAAAAUAAGGGAAUGGU